AUGAUGAAUGUGAAAACAUGCACACACUCUACUGUGAAUCACCAGUUUCCAUCCCACCAUCCUGUUUACUGUGCUUCUCCUUCAGGAAACCAGCAGGCUGUUUUGGCCCAGCAGCAGCAGGAGAUUGUGAACCAACAGGCCGUCAUCAUGGCCCAGCAGAUGACCAUACACGCCAUGGCCAUGGUCAGCAGCCCCGUGUCGAGUCCCCCAACCUCCCCGAUCACGAGCCCUCCCAUGAGUCCUCUCCUCCCUCACCCUCCCAGCGCUUACGUCCCUGCCAGCCCAUAUGCCGUCAUACCUCCAAGUCCAUAUGCAAACAUCCCACCGAGUCCUUACGCCAACUUCACUCCAACUCCCUACGCUGGAGCCGUCAUCCCAGCCAGCCCUUAUCUUCUUUCUGCUCAGCAGGGACACACUCUAUCACAGCCGAACACUCCACUCCCAACCGAGCCUUGGGCCGCCCGCCCUGACCCCCAUCAGAGCUCUUCCACAGCUGAGGCAGCACAGCCUAGAUCUAAAUCCUCGCCACAGGUUCAGUCAGGUAAGGACAGCGUUCCUCGGAGAAAGGCUCCGGGCGUUCCUAUUAACAAGGAGCCAACCAGGAAAUUCGCCCCAGUUGUGACGUCUCCUCUGCCCCCUGCUGGAGAUGUGGUGAAGUAUUCAUCUUCAGAUCACAUCGUUCCCAGCCAUGACAUUCAAGGUGACUGCUUUGCAAAGCUGACAAACAAUCUCAUUUGAAGAACUGCUUUUGCAAAAAAAUCUCUGAGGGAUUCUUGAGUUUCCAUGGCGUGUAUUAAUAUUUGUUCUGGUGUUGUACGUCAGAUGUGACAAAAGGGAGAAAAAUGCUGAUUUAUUCUCAUCUUCUAGAAAUCAUCAAAAGGUACAACUCACCAUCACCGCCUCCAGACCUGCUACCGCCUGGCAAGAGGUCAGUUAGUGGAGACUCUCUUUUAAACAUGCAGACAAAAUCUUAAAAAGAAAAAAAAGAUUAGAGAGUGUGGUUGUCUUUUAGGAGACCAGAAGAGAAAUUCAAGAAGAAGCCAACGGCUCGUGACGAAGCUUUACAGAUUCUUAAACCUCAGAUGGAGCACCCUCCUCCUCCACAGGUAGAAACACACUCAUGCCAGAAGCCUGCAGUCUCCGAUCCCUGCAAUCUGCACACACAGUGACUAAACGUGCAAAAACGUCUGUUGUUGUGUGUCUCCAGCCCAAACAACCUGUUGCCCCCUCACCAUCUGCUUCUGCCAUGAAAGAGGCAGGCUUUAAACCCACCAGGAUCACAAAAGCAAGAGCACCUGUUCGUCCGCUGCCCAAAACUCCUCCAGGUACACAACUUAUCUACAUACUAAUACAAAUGCAGGCCAAAUCAGAUCUGACUUAGUUGACAUGAACUAAGUUUUCUGAUAAAAACGUGUCACAACCUGAGCUAUCAUGUGGGUUUGCUGCAGCUCUUUUAAGUAAGUAAGUAAGUAAAAGUUUAUUUAUAUAGCGCCUUUCACAGAUAUAAAUCACAAAGCGCUGUACAACAUGAUAAAGAUCAGGGCAAAUUCCUCUAACCAAUAAAAACAUCAGAAAAACAAUAGCAGUGACAAAGUAGAAAAUAAAAUCAUGAGUAUAAACAAAGUGAAGUUGUGAACCCGAACAAAGCCAUCUUUUUGAACAUUUAGGGAGGGAAUGCCUGGAUGAAAAGGUGAGUUUUAGAUGAUUUUUAAAGACCUCUACAGUGUUAGAGAGACAGAGAUUUGAAGGUAGACUGUUCCAAAGUCUGGGUGCAAUAGUCUGAAAGGCCCUGUCCCCUUUGGUUUUCAGUCUGGUUUUAACAUUCACUUUGGGUGGUCUGAUCAUGAUUGGACGUUAGAUUUGAUCGAUCAGUACAUUCAGGGGUGAUCUCUGUUGCCUGUAGCCAGGUUCUUUGGACACUGUGAGGAUGACUGCUUCUUUAUGGCUUUCUACUGUGAUUUAUUCUGAAUUUUCAUCCUGGUUGACUCAAAAAUAAAAUGAUCCAAUCUUUCUAAGUGCCCUGGAGACAUCAUAAGAAAAGGAGAAAAGAAUAGUUUUAUUUCUGUUCAUUUGUGCAGAAAGUGAAGAAAAUGACACAACGAAUCUGUGAUUGUGUGAUGGUUAAAUUUCCUCAGCAGGUUUUAAAUCUAAUCCAGGUGUUUAAGUGCAGGUGGACCCAUCUUUUCCUUUAACUGUUUUACGUCUCAUUUCUUCUGAGAAACGGGUUAUUUCGAACAUCUGUGUUGAUUUUAACAAACUCAAAUGUUCCAAGUUAUCCAGCUUCCAAAUCGAUAACUGUGUGUGUUUUGCAUCUUGUUACUAUUAGUGUGACUGAAACAUGAAAAUUCUAAUUUCCACAUGGUGCUGGUGGUCAUGAGAACAGCGAGGAGAAAUGAUAAUGAUGAUUACAUCUGGUUCUUCCUGCAGAACUCUUUCAGCUCAAGAAUAAUUGUAUUUGUAUAGCGCAUUCACAGGGUUCUACAACCCCCCCAAGGCACUUCACAACACAAACAGUCAUUCACCCAUUCACACACUGGUGGGGAUGAGCUUCAAUGUAGCUGGCCUGGGACGCACUGACAGAGGCGAGGCUGCCGAGCACUGGUGCCACCAGCAGGCAAGGGGGGUUAAAUGUCUUGCCCAAGGACACAACAGAGCUGGUCAGAGCUGGGAUCGAACCUGCAACCUUCUGAUUACUGAACAACCCAUUUUACUCCCUGAGCUACUGCUGUCCCAGUUUGAGUCUGCAGUGCAGGAGUUCUGCUGUCCUCCAGGCCUCGUUUGGUUUUAAACCCCAUUUGUUUUGAUGAGUUUUAACUUCAAAGUUUUAACUCUGAGUGAUCCAAAGGGAUCUUUUGUUUGAUGUCAGCUGAGUUGACUGAGUUUUGAGGUUAACUCUGUUCUGGUUUUAAGACUUUUAUCAACUUUGUGGAUUUUAAAACGCCUUCAGUUUAGGUAAAACGUUUAACAAAGUUUUAACCAGGUGUUUUAAUAUUUGAUAAGUUGUCUUUUAACCGUUAACCUUUGUGAGAAUUUUUUGUUUUGCAUUAUUUUAAUAAUGCCCACCAUCUGUUUGCACUUGUUUUUAGAACCUUUUGUGACAAUUAAACCAAUUUUAAACCCACUAUCAUGUUUCUUAUGUUACCCCCUUCUUCACACUUUAACACCUCCUGUCGGGGACGUAACAUAUGUGAGUCUGCCACAUCUUUCAGGUCUGCUCUUUUUACAGUUGUUCUUUAUUUGUUCUGUCGUCUUUCAGUGGCCUUUGUUAUUUAGAGGCUACCAUCGGCAGCAAAAGCCUGUUUUACGUUACCAGUGAGAUGCUAUCUAAUAUUUUUCCCGUUUGUUGUAUUUUCCUGUCUGCUUCACUUUCAGGUUGACAUUAUGCAGUAGAAAAAAAUAAUUUAAUCAGUCACGAUUGUUUCGGAUGAGAUGUGAGGAAGUGCAGCUGGUAGGGUUGGACUCUGAUGUGUUUAAAGGUGGGGUUUACUCGUUUAUCCAAUAUGUUUGCAGUGUUCUCCACUUUAAACCAAUGUCUUAUGAGUAGGGAUGCUCCGAUCAGGUUUUAAUCUGCCGAUCACCGAUACCGAUCAGCCAAGAGGCCGAUCAUGGCCGAUCAGCCGAUUACCGAUACCAAUUACAUAGAUUGGCUGUAAAUUGUUCAUUUAGCUAUGGUGAGUUCUAAUGCAUGUGUUACAUAUUAAUUCAGAAAAAACAUGGUUUUACUUCACUUCAAAUUAUGUAAUAUCCAGAGGUGGAAAGUAACAAAUUACAUUUACUCACAUUACUGUAAUUGAGUAGCUUUUUUGUAAAUUUAUACUUUUUAAGUUGUUUUUAAAAGCUGUACUUUUACUUUUACUUGAGUAAGUUUUUAAAAAGAAUUGUAAUUCGCUACAUUUUAAAUCAUAUCCGUUACCGAGUAAAAAUAAAUUAUAGGCUUAAUAAAUUAAAAAUAUUACGUGUAGCAGCGUUGGAACGGAAAGAGACACCUGCAUGAGCGCCGCGUCUAAACCCUGGGGGUGUGGGGGUGUACACUUUAGCUCAAAGACAUCAGUUCAGUUCCUCAACUCGCUGUUUACCUCCUCUCUCCCUCCUCUCCUGUGUGUUGGAUCCUAAAGUAUGUACAGUCUAUGGUUGGAUCCCGCACCUUCGCGCACCGGUGUGAUGUCAUCAGAAAUCUGCUCGGUUCGGUAGCCGGACUCGGUUCCGUGUUUGAAUUUCUCUACCGCUCCGCACGGAAGCAGCAAAAUAACGUUUAGCGCUCAUGACAAGCGGACUCUCAACGCUCUGCUCAUAAAACAGAAGACCUGCAGGUCUCUGUGAGUUAAAACAUCCUGAUACUGUUCAGGUGUAAACAUUGUGCUCCGUCCCUGUGUUUGAACUCAGAAGAUGCUCCUUGAUGCCACAGAUAUGUGAUGAUUUAUCUUGUUUCUUUAUUUUACUCCAGAAUAAGAGAUUAAAUUAUUACUAAAGCAGUUCAAUGUAGUUAAAUUAGUCAUUCACAUGAUUCUAACAUGCUGCAGUGUGUGUGUGUGUGUGUGUGUGUGUGUGUGUGUGUGUGUGUUACACAUAUAGGACUGCAUGAGACAGC
ensembl:lncRNA